GACGAACGCUGGCGGCGUGCUUAACACAUGCAAGUCGAGCGGUAAGGCCCUUUCGGGGGUACACGAGCGGCGAACGGGUGCGUAACACGUGAGCAACCUACCCAGGUGUGGGGGAUAGCCGUCCCAACGGACGGGUAAUACCGCAUACGCUCGACACGAGGCAUUUCGAGUCGAGGAAACCUUCGGGGCACCAUGAGGGGCUCGCGGCCUAUCAGCUAGUUGGCGAGGUAACGGCUCACCAAGGCACGACGGGUAGCUGGUCUGAGAGGAUGACCAGCCACAUUGGGACUGAGAAACGGCCCAGACUCCUACGGGAGGCAGCAGUGGGGAAUCUUGCGCAAUGGCCUAACGGCUGACGCAGCGACGCCGCGUGAGGGAUGACGCUCUUCGGAGUGUAAACCUCUUUUGCCUGGAACGAAUUGCCACCAUCAGGUGGCUUGACGGUACCGGUGAAUAAGCACCGGCUAACUCCGUGCCAGCAGCCGCCGUAAU
rnacentral:rRNA from 1 species